rnacentral:rRNA from 1 species
AUUGAACGCUGGCGGCAGGCCUAACACAUGCAAGUCGAGCGGAUGAAGGGAGCUUGCUCCUGGAUUCAGCGGCGGACGGGUGAGUAAUGCCUAGGAAUCUGCCUGGUAGUGGGGGAUAACGUCCGGAAACGGGCGCUAAUACCGCAUACGUCCUGAGGGAGAAAGUGGGGGAUCUUCGGACCUCACGCUAUCUGAUGAGCCUAGGUCGGAUUAGCUAGUUGGUGGGGUAAAGGCCUACCAAGGCGACGAUCCGUAACUGGUCUGAGAGGAUGACCAGUCACACUGGAAGUGAGACACGGUCCAGACUCCUACGGGGGGCAGCAGUGGGGAAUAUUGGACGAUGGGCGAAAGCCUGAUCCAGCCAUGCCGCGUGUGUGAAGAAGGUCUUCGGAUUGUAAAGCACUUUAAGUUGGGAGGAAGGGCAGUAAGUUAAUACCUUGCUGUUUUGACGUUACCAACAGAAUAAGCACCGGCUAACUUCGUG